AUUGAACGCUGGCGGAAUGCUUUACACAUGCAAGUCGAACGGUAACAGGUUAAGCUGACGAGUGGCGAACGGGUGAGUAAUACAUCGGAACGUGCCCAGUCGUGGGGGAUAACGUAGAGAAAUUUACGCUAAUACCGCAUACGAUCUAAGGAUGAAAGCGGGGGACCGUAAGGCCUCGCGCGAUUGGAGCGGCCGAUGUCAGAUUAGGUAGUUGGUGGGGUAAAGGCCUACCAAGCCGACGAUCUGUAGCUGGUCUGAGAGGACGACCAGCCACACUGGGACUGAGACACGGCCCAGGCUCCUACGGGAGGCAGCAGUGGGGAAUUUUGGACAAUGGGCGCAAGCCUGAUCCAGCCAUUCCGCGUGCAGGAUGAAGGCCCUCGGGUUGUAAACUGCUUUUGUACAGAACGAAAAGGUCUGGGUUAAUACCCUGGGCUCAUGACGGUACUGUAAGAAUAAGCACCGGCUAACUACGUGCCAGCCGCCGCCGUAAUAC
rnacentral:rRNA from 1 species